CCACCUAUAGAUUAUAGACCGUUUGUUGAGGCGUGCAUUGAUGCAGAUGAGAAAAGUGAAGCUCUCAAAUACAUUCCGAAACUCACGGAUCUCACAGAAAGAGCUGAGUCUUAUGCUCGUA